rnacentral:rRNA from 1 species
GAUGAACGCUGGCGGCGUGCCUAAUACAUGCAAGUCGAGCGAACAGAUAAGGAGCUUGCUCCUUUGACGUUAGCGGCGGACGGGUGAGUAACACGUGGAUAACCUACCUAUAAGACUGUGAUAACUUCGGGAAACCGGAGCUAAUACCGGAUAACAUAUUGAACCGCAUGGUUCAAUAGUGAAAGGCGGCUUUGCUGUCACUUAUAGAUGGAUCCGCGCCGUAUUAGCUAGUUGGUAAGGUAACGGCUUACCAAGGCAACGAUACGUAGCCGAGCUGAGAGGGUGAUCGGCCACACUGGAACUGAGACACGGUCCAGACGCCUACGGGAGGCAGCAGUAGGGAAUCUUCCGCAAUGGGCGCAAGCCUGACUGAGCAACGCCGCGUGAGUGAUGAAGGUCUUCGGAUCGUAAAACUCUGUUAUCAGGGAAGAACAAAUGUGUAAGUAACUGUGCACAUCUUGACGGUACCUGAUCAGAAAGCCACGGCUAACUACGUGCCAGCCGCCGCAGUAA